GAUGAACGCUGGCGGCGUGCCUAACACAUGCAAGUCGAGCGAGAUUAAGUGUAGUGAGGGCUUCGGCCUGAGUGAAGCUUAUGAAAGCGGCGGACGGAUGAGUAACGCGUGGGCAACCUGCCCCAUACAGAGGGAUAGCCACUGGAAACGGUGAUUAAUACCUCAUAAGUCAGUAGGGUCGCAUGAUCUAGCUGACAAAGAUUUAUCGGUAUGGGAUGGGCCCGCGUCUGAUUAGCUAGUUGGUGAGGUAACGGCUCACCAAGGCGACGAUCAGUAGCCGACCUGAGAGGGUGAUCGGCCACACUGGAACUGAGACACGGUCCAGACUCCUACGGGAGGCAGCAGUGGGGAAUAUUGCACAAUGGGCGCAAGCCUGAUGCAGCAACGCCGCGUGAGCGAUGAAGGCCUUCGGGUCGUAAAGCUCUGUCCUCAAGGAAGAUAAUGACGGUACUUGAGGAGGAAGCCCCGGCUGACUACGUGCCAGCAGCCGCCGUAAGAC
rnacentral:rRNA from 1 species